UCUGAGAUCUGCCUCCCCUCCUGGGGACCCAGAGAAGAGCAGCCAUGACUUGAGAUUUUAGCUGGUGCCCUGAAAUCAGUUGCAGAUCAGCACCUGGACUGCAGGCAGGUCCACCCCCUCUCCUGGCCUUCUCCAAUCAGGUUCAAACAGGAGAGAGGACUGGCUAAAAGUAGUCGGAAGCCCUGCAGAGAAGAGUCAAGAAAGAGAGAGAUGAGACAAAUAAGCUGAUGGACGGAAUCAAAUGAAUCUAUGAAAUCUUUUAUUGCUCUCUUUCAUGUACAGCAGAGAGCCGCCCUCUUUUCUGCACGUGGCUGGCACUCCUUCAGCUCCGCAAGUGGCCAUGAAAAACGCGGGCUCUCACCCGGGAAAGCUGCUGCCGAUGAGGAUCCUCCCGAGAGGGUACUCCUUUCCUCUGACCUUCACAGGGGGGCUGAUGU